rnacentral:rRNA from 1 species
AUCGUAACAAGGUCUCCGUUGGUGAACCAGCGGAGGGAUCAUUACUGAGUUACCGCUCUAUAACCCUUUGUGAACAUACCUAACUGUUGCUUCGGCGGGCAGGGGGUGCCGCCUGCGGACCCCCCUCCCGGCCCUGCCCUCACGGGCGGAGCGCCCGCCGGAGGAUACCAAACUCUAUUUUAACGACGUUUCUUCUGAGUGGCACAAGCAAAUAAUUAAAACUUUCAACAACGGAUCUCUUGGUUCUGGCAUCGAUGAAGAACGCAGCGAAAUGCGAUAAGUAAUGUGAAUUGCAGAAUUCAGUGAAUCAUCGAAUCUUUGAACGCACAUUGCGCCCGCCAGCAUUCUGGCGGGCAUGCCUGUUCGAGCGUCAUUUCAACCCUCAAGCUCUGCUUGGUGUUGGGGCCCUACGGUUGACGUAGGCCCUUAAAGGUAGUGGCGGACCCUCUCGGAGCCUCCUUUGCGUAGUAACUAACGUCUCGCACUGGGAUUCGGAGGGACUCUUGCCGUAAAACCCCCAAAUUUUUAAAGGUUGACCUCGGAUCAGGUAGGAAUACCCGCUGAACUUAAGCAUAUCAAUAAGCCG